GGCAGGUACCUGUGGUCCUAGCCAGCUACUACAGGAGGAUUGCCUGAGUAUAGGAGUUCUGGGCUAUAGUGUGCUAUGCUGAUCGGGUGUCCACACUAAUUUUGGCAUUAAUAUGAUGACCCUCCCCGGCAAGAGCAGGGACCACCAGGUUGCCUAAGGAGGAGUGAACCAUAUUAGGUCAGAAAUGGAGCAGUUCAAAAUUCCUAUACUGAUCAGUAGUAGAAUCACAUCUGUAAAUAACCACUGCAUUCCAAUCUGAGCAAGAUUGUGAGAUCCUGUCUCUU
rnacentral:SRP_RNA from 1 species